rnacentral:rRNA from 1 species
GGUAACGCUGGCGGCGUGUCUUAGCCAUGCAAGUCGAGCGGACUUAUGGGGUAACUUAUAAGUCAGCGGCGGACGGCGGAGUAACACGUAGCUAACCUACCCUCUGGACGGGGAUAACCUACCGAAAGGUGGGCUAAUACCCGAUGUAGUCAUCCUGUAUAGGGGUGAUGAAAGGUGGGCUUCUGUUUACAAGCUCAUGCUGGAGGAGGGGGCUGCGGCCUAUCAGGUAGUUGGUAGGGUAAUAGCCUACCAAGCCGAUGACGGGUAGCCGGCCUGAGAGGGUGACCGGCCCGAGGGGCACUGAGAUACGGGUCCCACUCCUACGGGAGGCAGCAGGCUAGAAAUUUGGGCAAUGGGGGAAACCCUGACCCAGUGACGCCGCGUGCAGGAAGGAGCCCUUCGGGGUGUAAACUGCUGUCGUGUAGGGAGAAGGGUACUAAGGUGAACAAUCUUAGUACUUGACGGUACUACAGGAGGAAGCCCAGGCUAACCUCGUG